rnacentral:rRNA from 1 species
UACGAAGGGGGCUAGCGUUGUUCGGAAUUACUGGGCGUAAAGCGCACGUAGGCGGACUAUUAAGUCAGGGGUGAAAGCCCGGGGCCCAACCCCGGAACUGCACCCGAUACUGCCUGGCUGGAGUCCCGGAGAGGAUGGCGGAAUUUCCGGUGUAGAGGUGAAAUUCGUAGAUAUCGGAAGGAACACCAGUGGCGAAGGCGGCCAUCUGGACGGUGACUGACGCUGAGACGCGAAAGCGUGGGGAGCAAACAGG